UACAGAGGUCCCGAACGUUGUUCGGAUUCACUGGGCGUAAAGGGUGCGUAGGUGGCUUUGCAAGUCUGAUGUGAAAUCUCCGGGCUUAACCCGGAAAUGGCAUUAGAAACUGUGAGGCUUGAGGCUUGGAGGGGGAACUGGAAUUCUCGGUGUAGCAGUGAAAUGCGUAGAGAUCGAGAGGAACACCAGUGGCGAAGGCGAGUUCCUGGACAAGUCCUGACACUGAUGAACGAAAGCCAGGGGAGCAAACGGG
rnacentral:rRNA from 1 species